UACGGAGGGGGCUAGCGUUGUUCGGAAUUACUGGGCGUAAAGCGCACGUAGGCGGCUUUGUAAGUUAGAGGUGAAAGCCCGGGGCUCAACUCCGGAAUUGCCUUUAAGACUGCAUCGCUAGAAUUGUGGAGAGGUAAGUGGAAUUCCGAGUGUAGAGGUGAAAUUCGUAGAUAUUCGGAAGAACACCAGUGGCGAAGGCGACUUACUGGACACAUAUUGACGCUGAGGUGCGACAGCGUGGGGAGCAAACAGG
rnacentral:rRNA from 1 species